rnacentral:misc_RNA from 1 species
UUAACUAUUGUAUAGUACUCAGACGACACUAACAUUCAGAGUUUAUAGGCCUUCGGCGGGUCUGGCGGCCCGCCAAAGCAACGACGGUAACGAUAACAGUGGGUGGGAGAUCUACCCGUUAGGGCGAGAACUCUGUAAUGAUCCCUCCGCAGGUUCACCUACGGAGA